CUGCAAUGGCGGCAGCUUACACAUGCAGUCGAGCGGAUGAAGUAGCUUGCUACUGGAUUCAGCGGCGGACGGGUGAGUAAUGCUUAGGAAUCUGCCUAUUAGUGGGGGACAACGUUCCGAAAGGAGCGCUAAUACCGCAUACGUCCUACGGGAGAAAGCAGGGGACCUUCGGGCCUUGCGCUAAUAGAUGAGCCUAAGUCGGAUUAGCUAGUUGGUAGGGUAAAGGCCUACCAAGGCGACGAUCUGUAGCGGGUCUGAGAGGAUGAUCCGCCACACUGGGACUGAGACACGGCCCAGACUCCUACGGGAGGCAGCAGUGGGGAAUAUUGGACAAUGGGGGGAACCCUGAUCCAGCCAUGCCGCGUGUGUGAAGAAGGCCUUUUGGUUGUAAAGCACUUUAAGCGAGGAGGAGGCUACCUAGAUUAAUACUUUAGGAUAGUGGACGUUACUCGCAGAAUAAGCACCGGCUAACUCUGUGCCAGCAGCCGCGGUAAUACAGAGGGUGCGAGCGUUAAUCGGAUUUACUGGGCGUAAAGCGUGCGUAGGCGGCCAAUUAAGUCAAAUGUGAAAUCCCCGAGCUUAACUUGGGAAUUGCAUUCGAUACUGGUUGGCUAGAGUAUGGGAGAGGAUGGUAGAAUUCCAGGUGUAGCGGUGAAAUGCGUAGAGAUCUGGAGGAAUACCGAUGGCGAAGGCAGCCAUCUGGCCUAAUACUGACGCUGAGGUACGAAAGCAUGGGGAGCAAACAGGAUUAGAUACCCUGGUAGUCCAUGCCGUAAACGAUGUCUACUAGCCGUUGGGGCCCUUGAGGCUUUAGUGGCGCAGCUAACGCGAUAAGUAGACCGCCUGGGGAGUACGGUCGCAAGACUAAAACUCAAAUGAAUUGACGGGGGCCCGCACAAGCGGUGGAGCAUGUGGUUUAAUUCGAUGCAACGCGAAGAACCUUACCUGGCCUUGACAUACAGAGAACUUUCCAGAGAUGGAUUGUGCCUUCGGACUCUGAUAACAGUGCUGCAUGCUGUCGUCAGCUCGUGUCGUGGGAUGUUGGUUAAGUUCCCGCACGAGCGCACCCUUUUUCUUAUUUGGCUAGCCUUCGGGUGUCUUUAGAAUCUGCCAUGACACCUGAGACGCGGAACGAACGUCAGUCUAUCUAUGUCUCUUACCGAUCAAGGGCUAUAC
rnacentral:rRNA from 1 species